rnacentral:tRNA from 1 species
GGAGAGGUGGCCGAGUGGUUGAAGGCGACGGUUUGCUAAACCGUUAUACGGGCUAAAGCCUGUAUCGAGGGUUCGAAUCCCUCCCUCUCCGCCA